GCUAGUGAUGUAGUUUUGUGUCUUGUGACGUGUACGUACAUGAGCCGUAGAAAAGUCUCUACUGUACAAUAUUUGAUUUAAUCAAUAAUUGAUAAGAGAAAGUAAACAAAGAGAGGCUCUCAAUUUGUCAAAAGUACCAGCACGAUAAUAUCUCUAUAAUAAAUAACAAAUAAAUUUUCACAAAUCAGAGCAAAAAGUGGAAAACCGGCAUUCGCUGAUUAUUCUAGAGCAUUACGGAAUAUAUAGAUAAAUCGUACACUGAGCAAAAAGCAUCUGAGAAUUUCAUAAGUCUCGGCAUAUGAACCAGCCUUCUGACGAUGCCAUUGAACGCUUUCGAAUGUCAUAGACAGGCUUAUGAAUUCAUUUAUCUAUUCAUGCACUCCAUAGACGCACAAAUAAGAUAUUUCAUAAAACAGUCUUAUGACUUCGCUCCAAUAUAUGCGUUUAAGAAUUUCAUAAGUUUUUUUUUCAUGAAACCCAUAUGAGAUCUGUUUUUGAUUCUAUAAAAUUAUAUUUUGUUUUUCAUAAACGUCUCUUUUGUGAGAAUUGUUUCUUGUGAAGUCAGUACUGGCUUGGACGGUCAGCCAGGAGCUAAUAGUUUCAGUCCAGAACUUUUCAAUUACCGCUGUUUGAAACAAAAUAAGUGAGAU